rnacentral:rRNA from 1 species
GAUGAACGCUGGCGGCGUGCUUAACACAUGCAAGUCGAACGGAAGGGCCCAAGCUUGCUUGGGUACUCGAGUGGCGAACGGGUGAGUAACACGUGGGUGAUCUGCCCUGCACUUCGGGAUAAGCCUGGGAAACUGGGUCUAAUACCGGAUAGGACCACAUUUUGGAUGGUGUGGUGGAAAGUUUUUCGGUGUGGGAUGAGCUCGCGGCCUAUCAGCUUGUUGGUGGGGUAAUGGCCUACCAAGGCGUCGACGGGUAGCCGGCCUGAGAGGGUGUACGGCCACAUUGGGACUGAGAUACGGCCCAGACUCCUACGGGAGGCAGCAGUGGGGAAUAUUGCACAAUGGGCGCAAGCCUGAUGCAGCGACGCCGCGUGGGGGAUGACGGCCUUCGGGUUGUAAACCCCUUUCGCUAGGGACGAAGCGUUAUGUGACGGUACCUGGAGAAGAAGCACCGGCUAACUACGUG